CUCCUUCUCCAAGCUUGAUGCCAAUCUUCCAGAGCCGAUAUCUCUCCUUUGUACCGUUCAAUUGAUCUCAAAAUUCUCAUACACAUAAGAAAAUAAGUCUAAUAUCCUCUCACAUAAGUUUUAUUCCAAUCCAAGUAGUAGAUUGCAAGAAAGCUUAAAAAUCCUCACUAGACCUAAAAUUCUACUUUCUGAGACCUUGACCCACUUAAACCUCAAUAUCCUUCAAUUCAACCAUUAGAUCGAGCUCAAAUUCACAAUACAUAUUGAACACAACUAUAACCAUAAACCCACAAAAUUUCAUCCAUAGAUCUGCUACAAAACUCUCA
rnacentral:lncRNA from 1 species